rnacentral:lncRNA from 1 species
AGAUCAUGUGCCUGCCCUUUUGACCUCCACAUUUUCACCACCUGUUUCCCUGUUGGAUUACCAAUAAAUAGCGUGGGCUCCCAGCGCUCAGGGCCUUCGCAGUCUCCACGAUCACGAUGGUCCUCUGGUGUCCCAUCUUUCUCUCUCAAACUGUCCUUUCCUCAAUCCUUUGACUCCGCCGGACUUUGUCACCCCCACAACCUGGUUUUGGGUCUGGCCACCCCAACAUUAAUCUAACCAUGAGAAAAACACCAAAUCAUCCCAAAUUAAGGAUGUUGGAUGAAGUGCCUGUCCAAUACACAAAACCGUCAAGUUGGUGAAAAACAAAGUCUGAGAAACAGUCACAGUCAAAAGGAGCCAAAAGAAAUCUGAAUACUAAAUGUUAUGUGCUACCUUGGAUGGGAUCCUGGAACAGAAAAAAAAAAAGAGGCAUUUUCCCAACGCAAAUGGCAGCAUAAGCAUCUGAGAAUCUGAGCAGCCCUUGCAAGCACCUCACAGAAGCUGAAGAAACAAAAGUUGGAGUUCAGAACCUAUCAAUGUGGAGGCAUUCUAGCAAUGAACUCUAGAGUUAAGAUGGGUCUCCCAAACAAAUGAAAACAAACUGUGAAUAAAACAUUCCUUUCAGAAAAUAAAAGCAGUCACUGAAUGACCUCAAUCAUUGACCUUAGUAUGGACAUUUGCCUUUGUCUUAGCUAUGGCUGAAAAGC